rnacentral:rRNA from 1 species
CCUACGGGCGGCUGCAGUGGGGAAUAUUGGACAAUGGGGGCAACCCUGAUCCAGCCAUUCCGCGUGUGUGAAGAAGGCCCUCGGGUUGUAAAGCACUUUCAGUGAGGAAGAACGCCUGGUGGUUAAUACCCAUCAGGAAAGACAUCACUCACAGAAGAAGCACCGGCUAACUCCGUGCCAGCAGCCGCGGUAAUACGGAGGGUGCGAGCGUUAAUCGGAAUUACUGGGCGUAAAGCGCGCGUAGGUGGCUUGAUAAGCCGGUUGUGAAAGCCCCGGGCUCAACCUGGGAACGGCAUCCGGAACUGUCAAGCUAGAGUGCAGGAGAGGAAGGUAGAAUUCCCGGUGUAGCGGUGAAAUGCGUAGAGAUCGGGAGGAAUACCAGUGGCGAAGGCGGCCUUCUGGACUGACACUGACACUGAGGUGCGAAAGCGUGGGUAGCAAACAGGAUUAGAUACCCCGGUAGUC